UUAAGCGACUAAGCGUACACGGUGGAUGCCCUGGCAGUCAGAGGCGAUGAAGGACGUGCUAAUCUGCGAUAAGCGUCGGUGAGGUGAUAUGAACCGUUAUAACCGGCGAUUUCCGAAUGGGGAAACCCAGUGUGUUUCGACACACUAUCAUUAACUGAAUCCAUAGGUUAAUGAGGCGAACCGGGGGAACUGAAACAUCUAAGUACCCCGAGGAAAAGAAAUCAACCGAGAUUCCCCCAGUAGCGGCGAGCGAACGGGGAGGAGCCCAGAGCCUGAAUCAGUGUGUGUGUUAGUGGAAGCGUCUGGAAAGGCGCGCGAUACAGGGUGACAGCCCCGUACACAAAAAUGCACAUAUUGUGAGCUCGAUGAGUAGGGCGGGACACGUGGUAUCCUGUCUGAAUAUGGGGGGACCAUCCUCCAAGGCUAAAUACUCCUGACUGACCGAUAGUGAACCAGUACCGUGAGGGAAAGGCGAAAAGAACCCCGGCGAGGGGAGUGAAAAAGAACCUGAAACCGUGUACGUACAAGCAGUGGGAGCCUCUUUAUGGGGUGACUGCGUACCUUUUGUAUAAUGGGUCAGCGACUUAUAUUCUGUAGCAAGGUUAACCGAAUAGGGGAGCCGAAGGGAAACCGAGUCUUAACUGGGCGUUAAGUUGCAGGGUAUAGACCCGAAACCCGGUGAUCUAGCCAUGGGCAGGUUGAAGGUUGGGUAACACUAACUGGAGGACCGAACCGACUAAUGUUGAAAAAUUAGCGGAUGACUUGUGGCUGGGGGUGAAAGGCCAAUCAAACCGGGAGAUAGCUGGUUCUCCCCGAAAGCUAUUUAGGUAGCGCCUCGUGAAUUCAUCUCCGGGGGUAGAGCACUGUUUCGGCAAGGGGGUCAUCCCGACUUACCAACCCGAUGCAAACUGCGAAUACCGGAGAAUGUUAUCACGGGAGACACACGGCGGGUGCUAACGUCCGUCGUGAAGAGGGAAACAACCCAGACCGCCAGCUAAGGUCCCAAAGUCAUGGUUAAGUGGGAAACGAUGUGGGAAGGCCCAGACAGCCAGGAUGUUGGCUUAGAAGCAGCCAUCAUUUAAAGAAAGCGUAAUAGCUCACUGGUCGAGUCGGCCUGCGCGGAAGAUGUAACGGGGCUAAACCAUGCACCGAAGCUGCGGCAGCGACACUAUGUGUUGUUGGGUAGGGGAGCGUUCUGUAAGCCUGUGAAGGUGGCCUGUGAGGGUUGCUGGAGGUAUCAGAAGUGCGAAUGCUGACAUAAGUAACGAUAAAGCGGGUGAAAAGCCCGCUCGCCGGAAGACCAAGGGUUCCUGUCCAACGUUAAUCGGGGCAGGGUGAGUCGACCCCUAAGGCGAGGCCGAAAGGCGUAGUCGAUGGGAAACAGGUUAAUAUUCCUGUACUUGGUGUUACUGCGAAGGGGGGACGGAGAAGGCUAUGUUGGCCGGGCGACGGUUGUCCCGGUUUAAGCGUGUAGGCUGGUUUUCCAGGCAAAUCCGGAAAACCAAGGCUGAGGCGUGAUGACGAGGCACUACGGUGCUGAAGCGACAAAUGCCCUGCUUCCAGGAAAAGCCUCUAAGCAUCAGGUAACAUCAAAUCGUACCCCAAACCGACACAGGUGGUCAGGUAGAGAAUACCAAGGCGCUUGAGAGAACUCGGGUGAAGGAACUAGGCAAAAUGGUGCCGUAACUUCGGGAGAAGGCACGCUGAUAUGUAGGUGAAGCGACUUGCUCGUGGAGCUGAAAUCAGUCGAAGAUACCAGCUGGCUGCAACUGUUUAUUAAAAACACAGCACUGUGCAAACACGAAAGUGGACGUAUACGGUGUGACGCCUGCCCGGUGCCGGAAGGUUAAUUGAUGGGGUUAGCGGUAACGCGAAGCUCUUGAUCGAAGCCCCGGUAAACGGCGGCCGUAACUAUAACGGUCCUAAGGUAGCGAAAUUCCUUGUCGGGU
rnacentral:rRNA from 3 species